rnacentral:rRNA from 1 species
GUAGGUGGCAAGCGUUGUCCGGAAUUAUUGGGCGUAAAGCGCGCGCAGGCGGUUCUUUAAGUCUGAUGUGAAAGCCCACGGCUCAACCGUGGAGGGUCAUUGGAAACUGGAGAACUUGAGUACAGAAGAGGAAAGCGGAAUUCCACGUGUAGCGGUGAAAUGCGUAGAGAUGUGGAGGAACACCAGUGGCGAAGGCGGCUUUCUGGUCUGUAACUGACGCUGAGGCGCGAAAGCGUGGGGAGCAAACAGGGAUUAGAUACCCCGGUAGUCCACGCCGUAAACGAUGAGUGCUAAGUGUUAGGGGGUUUCCCGCCCCUUAGUGCUGCAGCUAACGCAUUAAGCACUCCGCCUGGGGAGUACGGCCGCAAGGCUG